rnacentral:rRNA from 1 species
AAUCAACGCUGGCGGCGUGCCUAACACAUGCAAGUCGAACGCGAGAGGGGCUUCGGCCCUGAUUGAGUGGCAAACGGGUGAGUAACGCGUGGGUGACCUACCUUCGAGUGGGGGAUAACGUUCCGAAAGGGACGCUAAUACCGCAUAACAUCCUGUCUUUGGACAGAUGGAGAUCAAAGCCGGGGAUCGUAAGACCUGGCGCUUGAGGAGGGCCCGCGUCCGAUUAGCUAGUUGGUGGGAAUGGCUCACCAAGGCAACGAUCGGUAGCCGGCCUGAGAGGGCGGACGGCCACACUGGGACUGAGACACGGCCCAGACUCCUACGGGAGGCAGCAGUGGGGAAUUGUUCGCAAUGGGCGCAAGCCUGACGACGCAACGCCGCGUGAAGGAUGAAGGUCUUCGGAUUGUAAACUUCUGUUGAUCGGGACGAACAG